GCCUUGGUGGUGGAAUUGGUAGACACGCAUGCUUCAGGUGCAUGUGCUCUAUGAGCGUGGGAGUUCGAGUCUCCCCCAAGGCA
rnacentral:tRNA from 1 species